AGAGUUUGAUCCUGGCUCAGGACGAACGCUGGCGGCGCGCCUAACACAUGCAAGUCGAACGAGCGAGAGAGAGCUUGCUUUCUUGAGCGAGUGGCGAACGGGUGAGUAACGCGUGAGGAACCUGCCUCAAAGAGGGGGACAACAGUUGGAAACGACUGCUAAUACCGCAUAAGCCCACGGCUCGGCAUCGAGCAGAGGGAAAAGGAGCAAUCCGCUUUGAGAUGGCCUCGCGUCCGAUUAGCUAGUUGGUGAGGUAACGGCCCACCAAGGCGACGAUCGGUAGCCGGACUGAGAGGUUGAACGGCCACAUUGGGACUGAGACACGGCCCAGACUCCUACGGGAGGCAGCAGUGGGGAAUAUUGCACAAUGGGGGAAACCCUGAUGCAGCGACGCCGCGUGGAGGAAGAAGGUCUUCGGAUUGUAAACUCCUGUUGUUGAGGAAGAUAAUGACGGUACUCAACAAGGAAGUGACGGCUAACUACGUGCCAGCAGCCGCGGUAAAACGUAGGUCACAAGCGUUGUCCGGAAUUACUGGGUGUAAAGGGAGCGCAGGCGGGAAGACAAGUUGGAAGUGAAAUCCAUGGGCUCAACCCAUGAACUGCUUUCAAAACUGUUUUUCUUGAGUAGUGCAGAGGUAGGCGGAAUUCCCGGUGUAGCGGUGGAAUGCGUAGAUAUCGGGAGGAACACCAGUGGCGAAGGCGGCCUACUGGGCACCAACUGACGCUGAGGCUCGAAAGUGUGGGUAGCAAACAGGAUUAGAUACCCUGGUAGUCCACACUGUAAACGAUGAUUACUAGGUGUUGGAGGAUUGACCCCUUCAGUGCCGCAGUUAACACAAUAAGUAAUCCACCUGGGGAGUACGACCGCUAGGUUGAAACUCAAAGGAAUUGACGGGGGCCCGCACAAGCAGUGGAGUAUGUGGUUUAAUUCGACGCAACGCGAAGAACCUUACCAAGUCUUGACAUCCCUUGACGAUGCUGGAAACAGUAUUUCUCUUCGGAGCAUGGAGACAGGUGGUGCAUGGUUGUCGUCAGCUCGUGUCGUGAGAUGUUGGGUUAAGUCCCGCAACGAGCGCAACCCUUAUGGUCAGUUACUACGCAAGAGGACUCUGGCCAGACUGCCGAUGACAAAACGGAGGAAGGUGGGGAUGACGUCAAAUCAUCAUGCCCUUUAUGACUUGGGCUACACACGUACUACAAUGGCGUUAAACAAAGAGAAGCAAGACCGCGAGGUGGAGCAAAACUCAGAAACAACGUCCCAGUUCGGACUGCAGGCUGCAACUCGCCUGCACGAAGUCGGAAUUGCUAGUAAUCGCAGAUCAGCAUGCUGCGGUGAAUACGUUC
rnacentral:rRNA from 1 species